GAAGCAGACCGCCUUAUCGCUGUUUCAGACUUGAUCUGGAAUGGAGGAAAGUCCGGACACCACAGGGCAGCAUAGUGGGUAACACCCACCAUUUCAUUCUGAAUUUUCAUGAAUGGAAUAGGACUAGUGCAACAGAAAGGAUGUACAGGUAAUGCUGUAGUGAAAUCAGGUAAACUCUAUGCGGUGCAAUGCCAUGUAUACCGGCUGUUAAGGAUUGCCCGUCCGAUGCCGGAGGGUAGGCAGCUAAAGGCUUUUGGCAACAGAAGUCUCAGAUAAAUGAUAAGGGGCGGAAUUUAUUCCACAACAGAAUCCGGCUUACAGGUCUGCUUUUUUA
rnacentral:RNase_P_RNA from 1 species